CGACUAGUGUAAAAAUGUUGUAUAUUGAAUAUAAAGAUUUUAAGUUAAUUUAAACUGAAGGCUUUCAAGGUCUUUUAUAAAUAUAUAGUGUUUAAAUCUUGUCUAUAAAAGUUAAAUGUAGUUUGUUUAAUGGGUAUUAAUUUGGCAUAGUAAAUGAAAAGAUUUUAUGUUAAUUUGGCUUUGGUUAUUAUAUAAGUUGUUAUCAAGUUUAUACAUGCUAGAUUUGAAUAUUGAUCGGUUUAUUUGAAAUUUAUUAUUUAUAUAAUAGUUUAAUAUUUUAUAUAAUUAGUAUGAUUAUAUUAGUAUAGUAUUAAGAUAUAAUGAGUAAAUUACGCAGUAUUUAUUUUUAUACAAUGAAUGAAAGUUUGAUAUAGUUAAUGUAAUUUAAAGGUGGUUAAAUUGGUGCCAGCAUCUGCGGUUAUACCAAUACUUUGAAUUUAUAUUUAAAUAGUGUAAAAUAAAGUAAUAAAAUUAAUAUUAUUAUUAGAAUUAAUGAGUAUAUAGAUUGUAGGUAAAAUUUAAUCUGUAUAAUUAAUUAUACUGUUCUAAAUUAAUAGGUUCUUUGAAAAUAAGGUUUAAGUAGACUAGGAUUAGAGACCCUAUUAUUCUUUAUUUUAAAAAUUUUAUUAUUUAAGUAGUAAGAGUUAUUAGCAAAUAUUUUAUUUAAUUUAAUUUUGUACUUGAAACUUAAAAGGCUUGGCGGUGUCAUAUAUCCUUCCAGGGGAGCUUGCUUAUUAAUUUGAUAUUCCUCAAUUUAUACUUACUUUCUUUUGAAUUAUAAAAAAUUGUCAGUUUGUGUAUUGCUGUCGUCAGUUUAUUUUGUAAAAAUUUUAGAAAAAACUUUGUAAUGAUUAGAUUAUGAUGUCAAGUCAAAAUGCAGCUUAUAAGAAAGGUUUAUAAAGUGAGCUACAGUUUGUUAUAUUUAAUCUGAUUAAACUAUGUAAUUAGUUUAUGAAGUUGGACUUGGUAGUAAUAAAAGUAUAAAUAGUGUGUUUUUAUGAAUUGGGUUUUGUGAUGCGUACAUAUCGCCCGUCGCUCUUGUUGGAAGAUAAGAUAAGUCGUAACAUAGUAGGGGUAGUGGAAGCUGUUCCUGGGUUAAUAAUUAUCAAAGCUUAACAUAAAUAAUGUAUCUCACUUACAUUGAGAAAAUGAUUAAUAUAUUUAGUCAGUUUUGAUAAAAUAAAAAUAAAAUAACUUCUGUAUUUUGUAGUUGAAAAAAUUUUUUUUUAUUUAGGUAUUAGUAGUAUAGAUAAAUUUUUGUUUAGGUGUACUGUAAAGGAUUAGUUUAUUUGGUUGUUAGUAAAAAUAGAAAUUUGUACCUUUUGUAUAAUGGGUUAAUGAUAUUUAAAAUUUUUUAUAGAAUUAUCUCGAAUUAGGAGGAUUUAUUUGGUAAUAUAUGUUAACGUGGUAAAGUUAUAUGUUUAUUAUUGAAUGGUAAUGAAAUGUUUAUCGUUUCCUAGAAUAGCUAGUUUAUUAGGUGAAAGAUAUUUAAGUAUCAUAGUGUUUAUAUAAUAAAGUUAUAUUUGAAUACUAGUUUAUUAUAUGGGGGAUAAGCUUCAUAUAGGUUUAUAGAAUGUUAUGUAUAAGUAAAUAUAAUUUAAGUAGGGUUAAAAUUUAGUUUUUCUUAAUGAUUUAAUUUAUUAUCUGUUUAAAAUAUUUCAAGUGGUAUGUAAUUAAUAAAUGAUUGUUAAUAUUUUUAGUUAAAUAUAAUGUUAAUAUGAGUAUUGGUUUAUGGUUUAUCUAUUUAUUGUAAUUAUAAAUGUAAAUUGUUAUUUAGUUUUAUAAAAAAUUAAGUAAAGUGAAGGAAUUCGGCAAAUAUUAAUCUCGCCUGUUUAUCAAAAACAUCUCUCUUUGUUGAUUCAUAAAUAAAGAGUUGGGCCUGCUCGGUGAAAUGUUUAACAGCUGCGGUAUUUUAACUGUACUAAGGUAGCAUAAUAAUUUGCCUUAUAAUUUGAGGCUAGAAUGAAUGGUUUGACGAAGGUUAAUCUGUCUCCACUUUAUUUUUUAGAAAUUAAUUUUCAUAGUGAAAAAGCUUGAAUUUUUUAAGGGGACGAGAAGACCCUAUUGAGCUUAUAAUUUUAUUAAUAUUUUAUAAAUAUUUAUGUUGUGUUAUAUAAAUUUUAAUUGGGGUGAUUAAGGAAUAAUUUUAUUGAUUUUAUAGUGUAACUUCCUUAGAAAACAUAUUGUUAAAUUAAGUAACCGAUUUAUAUAUAGGUUUAUAUUGGGUAUUGCUUAUAAUAUAGUUACCAUAGGGAUAACAGCGUAAUUUACUUAGAGAGUUCUUAUUGAAAAGUAAGAUUGCGACCUCGAUGUUGGAUUAAAGUAACCUUAAGGUGCAGAAGCUUUAUAAGGUAAAUCUGUUCGAUUUUUAAAACUUUACAUGAUCUGAGUUCAGACCGGCGUGAGCCAGGUUGGUUUCUAUCUUUUAAAAAUUGUUAUUGCUUCUUUUAGUACGAAAGGAUCGAAGAAAGCUAAAAGUUUAAUUAAAAUAUAGAUAUAAUUUAUAUGUGGUUUUGUUAAAAACACAGAAGGUAGCCCUUAUAAUUUAUAACAUCAAUAUAAUCCGUUCUUUCCGGCGCAGUGUUUUAAAUUUUAAUUGAAAAUUUAUGUAUGGUUUUUCAUUCUUAUGAAGAAGAAAUUUAAAAUUUUGAUAAAAUUUAUUUAUUAACAAAUAUGGCGGAUAAUGUGCUUGCUGUUUUUAUAGUUUUGUAAAAUAAAAAGGGGAUAUAGAGGGCCAUUAAAAUAACGAAAGA
rnacentral:rRNA from 1 species